rnacentral:rRNA from 1 species
CGUGUAGGCGGCUAUUCAAGUCAGGGGUGAAAGGCCUGGGCUCAACCUGGGAACUGCCUUUGAAACUGAAUGGCUUGAGACCGGAAGAGGAUGGCGGAAUUCCCAGUGUAGAGGUGAAAUUCGUAGAUAUUGGGAAGAACACCGGUGGCGAAGGCGGCCAUCUGGUCCGGCUCUGACGCUGAGGCGCGAAAGCGUGGGGAGCAAACA